rnacentral:tRNA from 1 species
GGGGGCAUAGCUCAGCUGGGAGAGCAACAGACUGAAGUGAGUUUUGUAGCAAUGGUCUUCUGGAGGUCCCCAGUUCAAUCCUGGGUGUCCCCA